CCUACGGGCGGCUGCAGUGGGGAAUAUUGGACAAUGGGCGAAAGCCUGAUCCAGCCAUGCCGCGUGUGUGAAGAAGGCCUUCGGGUUGUAAAGCACUUUCAGUGGGGAAGAAAGCCUUGGGGCUAAUACCCUCGAGGAAGGACAUCACCCACAGAAGAAGCACCGGCUAACUCCGUGCCAGCAGCCGCGGUAAUACGGAGGGUGCGAGCGUUAAUCGGAAUUACUGGGCGUAAAGCGCGCGUAGGCGGUCUGAUAAGCCGGUUGUGAAAGCCCCGGGCUCAACCUGGGAACGGCAUCCGGAACUGUCAGGCUAGAGUGCAGGAGAGGAAGGUAGAACUCCCGGUGUAGCGGUGAAAUGCGUAGAGAUCGGGAGGAAUACCAGUGGCGAAGGCGGCCUUCUGGACUGACACUGACGCUGAGGUGCGAAAGCGUGGGUAGCAAACAGGAUUAGAUACCCUGGUAGUC
rnacentral:rRNA from 1 species